UGAGGAAUAUUGGUCAAUGGGCGGAAGCCUGAACCAGCCAUGCCGCGUGCGGGAAGAAGGCCCUACGGGUUGUAAACCGCUUUUCCCCGGGAAGAAUAACCCCGACGCGUCGGGGGAUGCCGGUACCGGGGGAAUAAGGAUCGGCUAACUCCGUGCCAGCAGCCGCGGUAAUACGGAGGAUCCGAGCGUUAUCCGGAUUUACUGGGUUUAAAGGGUGCGUAGGCGGCCCUGCAAGUCAGCGGUGAAAUGUGGCGGCUCAACCGUUUCGCUGCCGCUGAUACUGUAGGGCUUGGAUGCGGUCGAGGCGGGUGGAAUUCGUGGUGUAGCGGUGAAAUGCAUAGAUAUCACGAGGAACGCCGAUAGCGAAGGCAGCUCGCCGGGCCGCGAUCGACGCUGAGGCACGAAAGCGUGGGGAUCAAACA
rnacentral:rRNA from 1 species